rnacentral:rRNA from 1 species
GAUGAACGCUGGCGGCGUGCCUAAUACAUGCAAGUCGAACGCAUAGCGAAAGGUGCUUGCACCUUUCAAGUGAGUGGCGUACGGGUGAGUAACACGUGGACAACCUGCCUCAAGGCUGGGGAUAACAUUUGGAAACAGAUGCUAAUACCGAAUAAAACUUAGUGUCGCAUGACACAAAGUUAAAAGGCGCUUCGGCGUCACCUAGAGAUGGAUCCGCGGUGCAUUAGUUAGUUGGUGGGGUAAAGGCCUACCAAGACAAUGAUGCAUAGCCGAGUUGAGAGGCUGAUCGGCCACAUUGGGACUGAGACACGGCCCAAACUCCUACGGGAGGCUGCAGUAGGGAAUCUUCCACAAUGGGCGAAAGCCUGAUGGAGCAACGCCGCGUGUGUGAUGAAGGCUUUCGAGUCGUAAAGCACUGUUGUAUGGGAAGAACAGCUAGAAUAGGAAAUGAUUUUAGUUUGACGGUACCAUACCAGAAAGGGACGGCUAAAUACGUG